UGUACUAGAAGUGCGUGGGAAAGCUUCAAACUUAAGAAAUUGGAAGGACUUGCAAUCGGAGAUGAUAUUAUGGAUCAGUCUUUCUACGAAAGCCGAAAAGUUGCAAUCGGAGAAUGUCUCUCCCACAUUGCCGAAACAAAUGAUGUAGCACAAUUAGUAGGCGAUACAUUCACUAGGCAUUACGAACUAUACAAAGCACACUGGAAUCGUGGUGUCCGUGGCUCGGUGAUCGUUUGUGAUCCUCUCAUGUACCCUUGUCGAUCUUUGCAAUUUUUGGCUGCAGCACUUGGUGGUCCCGCUCUUGCUGGUAUUAU
rnacentral:ribozyme from 1 species